rnacentral:lncRNA from 1 species
CCUCACCAGGCUCCUGAACUUCUUUGUGUUCUCUUGAAGUCUCACUCCAGUCUUUGGACCAUAUACUCGACCCACUGAGAGUGAGUUGUGGGACAUGUGGGCUGGGAUUCGCGACAGCGACGGGAACCUGGUCAUUGACAGUCUUUUACAGUACAUCAAUCAGAGGAAAACAUUUACAAGACGCUGGGUGGGAGCACUUGCUUCUGUGACCACCCCAUUCGUUUUAUCUAUGGGCCAUUGGAUCCUACAAAUCUGUAUCCAGAGUUUUUGGAGCUGUACAGGAAAAUGCUGCCGCGGUCCACAGUGUAGAUUCUGGAUGACCACAUUAGCCACUACCCACAGCUAGAGGACCCCAUGGGCUUCUU